rfam:Triticum aestivum genome assembly, contig: Triticum_aestivum_CS42_TGACv1_scaffold_578252_7BL
UUUAUACUCCGUCCGUCCCAAAAUUCUUAUUUUAUAUUAGCCUAGAUAUGAAUGUAUCUAAUAAUAAAACAUGAUUUGAUACAUCCGUAUUUAGAUAAAUUUAAAAUAAGAAAUUCUGGGACGGAGAGAGUAUUAA